rnacentral:lncRNA from 1 species
AAACUCAAGCAAGAACUGGUCAGCAACUAUUUGCACUGCGUUAUCUCAUAUUUUCACCUUGCUAUUAUUUGUCAUUCUCCUAUAGGACUUCUUUCUAAUAUCUUAAAACAUUUUAACCACCAAUUUUUUUAACAUAAUUAGAUGAGCAAGCAAAUAUAGGCAGUUUUUGUGAUUGUUUUUUGGAUAUGUUUGAUUCAUGUGGUUAUUGUCCUUGCACAAGUUUUAACCAAAAAUAAUUCUUUCUUGUCUAUUAUAUAAGAUAAUUUACUUUCCAAGGAUAUAAACCCUCUUCAUCAUGGUGCCAGAUUGAAUGAUGGAAAUUUAUCUGUUAGAUGCGCAAGUACAAUGCCUUUCCCCCUUUAGAUUUAAAUAACACAAUUGUCGUUAUCUGGUAUCAGUUACCAUAGGUGAUACUGAAUCACCAUAGGUGAUACUUGAUUCAAAGAAGUAUUAUUCAUCUGGCUCUCUAUAGAAUUCAUGAUUGUUUCAAUGCUUCAAGUAUAAUGCCUUAUGCUGAUAAUAGAUUAAGAUCUCCGUAUUACUUUGUUAACUACGGCAUGGAAUCAUACUAUUAUAGGCUUCUAGUCACCUUCACUUUUAGGAGAAUUAGUUUAUCGUAUAAAUCUAUUCUAACCUUGAUUUGCCCCAUUUUAAUCUUAUUCAUAUGGUUUCACUUGGGCUAUUUCCAAUUAAAUUGUUGUGUACCAAUCCUGGCAUUCAUCAGUGCCGCCUAAACUUUUUGGUAAGUUUUUCAGUUUGGUUUCCUUAACUUGCAUUCUUGCAAUGGAUAUUGCAGGCAGAAUUGAGGAGAACUAGUGAUACAAGAAGAAUACAAGUGGGGUUCCCCUUGCUGUUUGUUUGCAUGGUUUCAAUGAUCAGUCUGGCUGUUGGAUUCCAACUUGCUACAUCCUUAGCAGAGAAUAAUCUGCUUUGAGCUUCGCUUUGAGCUAUAACCAUCAACUUUGAAAUGAAUAGGCCUUCUCUAUGAUCAGGCGCUGAGGUGGAAGGUGUGUACUGAUAAACUGACAAUUAGAACAUCUUGACAAAAUGAUGUAAAACAAUCUGAUCUCUUAUAAUAAAGGAAAAGCAUGUCGUUACCUCAAAUUUCACGUCCAAUAUGAAUUAUUGUGAAUCGACUUUUUUGUUAAAUGCUUGAUUAUCAUUUUUUUUGUACUCACUCCAGCUUCUGCAGUCAUUCGUGCUCACUUGGACGUCCCCAUGUGUAUCCACCUG